UGGGGAAUAUUGCGCAAUGGGGGAAACCCUGACGCAGCGACGCCGCGUGUGGGAUGAAGGUCUUCGGAUUGUAAACCACUGUCGCGAGGGACGAAGCUCUGACGGUACCUCGAAAGGAAGCACCGGCUAACUCUGUGCCAGCAGCCGCGGUAAUACGUAGGGUGCGAGCGUUAAUCGGAAUUACUGGGCGUAAAGUGUGCGCAGGCGGCUUCGCAAGUCGAGUGUGAAAUCCCCGGGCUUAACUUGGGAACGGCGCUCGAAACUACGGAGCUAGAGUAUGGCAGAGGGAGGUGGAAUUCCACGUGUAGCGGUGAAAUGCGUAGAUAUCUGGAGGAACACCGGUGGCGAAGGCGGCAUCCUGGACCAACACUGACACUGAGGAGCGAAAGCCAGGGGAGCAAACGGGAUUAGAUACCCAUGUAGUCCCUGAGCGGGCUGGCAAGGCGCAU
rnacentral:rRNA from 1 species